GGAAGGACAACAAUUCUGAUACAGAUACAAAUCUCUGUUAUUGCAAUCGUGUCUGCAAGUUCCUUGGAGGAGUACUAAAUUUGGAAUGUCGAGUCCCCUUUUGACACACAGGUUUGUAGCGAGGACAACUAUUUGAGGUGGUACUUGUGACUGAUGUUAUUGACAAAACGUGAAAGGAUCAUCUAGCAAAAAGAAGUGAAAGGAUUGGGGACUUGCCAGACUUCAUUGCUGGAGGGAGGGGAGCGGAGAUUAUUAUGAGGCACAAGUUAACAGUUGACAUGAGACCGUGACCUCAAGACAUUCACAUCUGGAAGGAGAAAGUGCCAGUGAGUGGGAUUUCCAUAUGAGUUACCACCAAUAAAGUAGAGUUCAGAUCAGAGACAGAUACAGACCAUAGCAAGUUGAUGUGCACACAGGCUCAAUUGAGAUCAGGUCUAAUAAACAAACCAUACCUCGAACACUACCAGUCAUGAGAGGUUGAUAUGAUAGUUUGAUAUGCUGGCAUUCAUCUAUCAUUUAUGCAGCCUAGAUAUCUCCUCGUACCACAAGUCGCAGCACUCACCAUUUCCAAGCGCAUACACAAAUAUAGCUUUUGACCUAUUGUUCUCUCGAAUAACUCAUCUUCGUCAAAUUCCUCAUCCUUAUAGUCCAGUAUCUUCACUUUUCUUCCAUACCCUUCCUGCAUCUUCAUAACGGAAUUCUAUUACCAAUGUACGUCUCACUAUUCUCCUUUGUCUGCGUACAAUACAAUCCCCAGCUUUCAUACGGAUAAAAUACGUGUGAGGUGUGGCAUGUAUGGUGGAAAUGAGGAUUAUAAUCAACAUAAAAGAAAUAUCCUAUUAUAGCCUAACCAUGGAUGCUGAAUGAGCAUGAAACAGGAAGAAUGUCUAAUGCA